GAAACUUUGCAUGGUGGAUGAGGAUUCUAAAUAUCCAGAUGAAAUUGCCCUCAUCAAAGGAAUCUCAGAUGAGAGAUUUCUGCAUAGAAGCCAGAAGUCUCCCCUAAAGGAAAGAGUCGGUUUCAAGUGUUUGCAACCUCAGGACAGUGUCAAUGUUAGAUCACCGCAAUGCUGCCCCUCAAGGAAGAACUCUAUUGCUCCCUGGCUUCUCUCCUUGAGCCCUAAACACAGUAGAUUCAGAAACUAAGUCAGCAAAUGGGGGAAGAUUCUUAACCGUGCUAGGUCGGAAAUCAUGAGUCAGAGGCCCUUCCCUUCCUCGAGUUCAGGCUUCCACUUGACUGCGGAUCAGAACUGGAAGAGACAGUGAAAAUCCAAUACCUAGCCAAUACAGAACAUUAAUGUCUGGGAGGAGGCCAGCUGCUCUUGACACGCAAAGUUCAGAUUAUUUUCAAGCUUCAAGAAGGGAACCAGCGACAGGGAUGAACGAAUGAGUAGAGCCACUCACCAGCAAAAAGUGUUGGGAUUUUUUCUACACCACUCCAGCCCCUCGUUGCAGUGUUGCUGUAGAGAACUGAUAUCCCCAGUUCUGCCCAUCUCAGGCAUACUCCAGGAGGCUCCCUGGCUGACAGCUUCCUUUCUCUGCCACCUGUGUGAAGGAGCUGCCGCUCUCUGUUCUCAGGUCUUGGUGACUGAGGAUGGGUCCAUUUUUCCUUUUGUUGAUGUUGUAAGUGGGACUGGUAAUUCUAUUUUUGGAUUGUUCAUUUCCCAAUCUUUUAAGACAUACCAAAGGAUUUUCUCUGCGAGUGUGAGCUUACAGAAAAGAGCUCUCAUUGUCUUUCUGGCAACAACAACAGAUAAUAUUGAUAAUGCAUUGCUGGCAAUAUCUACCUGUGGUUUUCUGUAAAAAGUGCUAUGAGUUUGAGGACAUUUACAUAAUAGUCUGACUGGGAAAUCCUAGAUUUUAGUAAUUAAAAAAAUAAAUCACGAGGCGGGGUUGGGUAUCUACUCUGGUGAGUAGACAGCUGUGGGGCACAGAAGCGCGAAGGCCUGGCUGCUGGGCAGGUGAACUCUGCACGGGGUCUAGGGCCUGCGGAAGGGUUCGGAACGGAGUCAGCGAGCCUUGCAAGCAGGAUUCGCACCGCUGAGACCCGGAGGUCCUCCGGGGGCGAAGCCCUGGCCUAGGCCCCGCGGAAAUGCCCAGCUGCGGUGCUUGUACUUGCGGCGCGAUUGCUGCCCGCCUGGUCACCUCCUCACUCGCCUCCGCGCAGAGAGGUAUUUCUGGUGGUCGCAUUGAUAUAGCAGUUUUAGGAAGGCUUGGGACAUUUGAAAUUCAGAUUCUGCGAAGAGCUCCUCUUAGAUCCUUUACAGAAACACCAGCAUGCUUUGCCUCAAAAGAUGGGAUAAGUAAAGAUGGUUCUGGAAAUGGAAAUAAGAAAUCAGCAAGUGAGGGAAGUAGUAAGAAAUCAGGCCCUGGGAAUUCUGGGAAAGGUGGAAACCAGCUGUGCUGUCCUAAAUGUGGCGACUUGUGCACACAUAUAGAGACCUUUGUGUCAUCCACCCGUUUUGUCAAGUGUGAAAAAUGUCAUCUUUUUUUUGUGUGCUAUCUGAAGCAGACUUAAAGAAAAGCAUAAUUAAAGAACCUGAAUCAGCAGCAGAAGCUGUAAAAUUGGCAUUCCGACAGAAACCACCACCUCCCCCAAGAAGAUUUAUAACUACCUCGACAAGUAUGUUGUUGGCCAGUCAUUUGCUAAGAAGGUGCUUUCAGUUGCUAUGUACAAUCAUUAUAAGAGAAUACAUAGUAAUAUCCCAGCUAAUCUGAGACAGCAAGCAGAGGUUGAGAAGCAGACAUCAUUAACACCAAGAGAGUUAGAAAUAAGAAGACGGGAGGAUGAGUACAGAUUUACAAAAUUGCUUCAGAUUGCUGGAAUUAGCCCACAUGAUAAUGCUUUAGGAGCAUUGAUGCAGCAACAGGUAAAUCAACAAAUACCUCAGGAAAAAUGAGGAGGUGAAGUAUUGGAUUCUUCUCAUGAUGACAGAAAACUUGAAAAAAGUAAUAUUUUGCUGCUUGGACCAACUGGGUCAGGUAAAACUCUGCUGGCACAAACCCUAGCUAAAUGCCUUGAUGUCCCUUUUGCCAUCUGUGACUGUACAACUUUGACUCAGGCUGGAUGCGUGACUCAGGCUGGAUACGUAGGCAAGGAUUUUGAAUCUGUGAUUGCCAAACUACUCCAAGAUGCCAAUUACAAUGUGGAAAAAGCACAACAAGAAAUUGUCUUUCUGGAUGAAGUCAGUAAGAUUGGCAGUGUGUGAGGCAUUCAUCAGUUACGAGAUGUAGGUGGAGAAGGCAUUCAGCAAGGCUUAUUAAAACUACUAGAAGGCACAAUAGUCAAUGUUCCAGAAAAGAAUUCCCGAAAGCUCCCUGGAGAAACAGUACAAGUUGAUACAACAAACAUCCUGUUUGUUGCAUCUGGUGCUUUCAGUGGUUUAGACAGAAUCAUCAGCAGGAGGAAAAAUGAAAAGUAUCUUGGAUUUGGAACACCAUCUAAUCUGGGAAAAGGCCAAAGGGCUGCAGCUGCUGCAGACCUUGCUUAUAAAGUGGGGUAUCAAAUACUCACCAAGACAUUGAAGAAAAAGAUCGGUUAUUGCAUCGUGUGGAAGCCAGAGGUCUGAUUGAGUUUGGCAUGAUUCCUGAGUUUGUGGGAUGGUUGCCUGUGGUGGUUCCAUUGCAUAGCCUAGAUGAGAAAACACUUGUACAAAUACUAACUGAGCCAUGAAAUGCUGUUAUUCCUCAGUACCAGGCCUUAUUUGGUAUGGGUAAGUGUGAACUGAAUGUUACUGAGGAUGCUUUGAAAGCUAUAGCCAGAUUGGCACUAGAACGAAAAACAGGUGCACGAGGCCUUCGGUCCAUAAUGGAAAAACUGUUACUAGAACCAAUGUUUGAAGUCCCUAAUUCUGAUAUCGUAUGUGUGGAGGUUGACAAAGAAGUAGUGGAAGGAAAAAAGGAACCAGGAUACAUCCAGCCUCCAACAAAAGAAUCCUCUGAAGAGGAGUAUGACUCUGGAGUUGAAGAAGGCUGGCCCUGCCAAGCAGAUGCUGCAAACAGCUAAACUGUCAUAUUGCUGUCCUGUAUAUACAGCUUUUCCUUCUUUUGUUUAGGAUCAUAACUGUCUCUACAGUCUGAUAUUAAAGGCAUUGGAUCUAUCUUGGAUAUCAUACAUGGUCAGAGAAGCCUUUAGGAUAAGAAUCAGAUCAUAUAUAUUAUUGUAACAUCACAUUGAUUUUACAGAGGACGUUAUGUGGACUUUAAUGACACAAUGUUUAGAGAUAAAAUGUACAUUAUUUUGGUUCAGUUUUUUAAAAACACUAUGCUUUAACAAAAUUCUUAGGAAUUCUUUUAAGCAAUGCAGGUAUUGCAAUAACUGUAGAUGUUAUAAUAAUGUUACUCCACAAAUGGGAAAAUAAAUUCUUUAAAAUUGAAUAUUG